GACGAACGCUGGCGGCGUGCUUAACACAUGCAAGUCGAACGAAGUGGCGAACGGGUGAGUAAUACGUGGGUAACCUGACCUCCUUUUUGGGAUAAGCCAUGGCAACGGGGUCUAUUACAGUAUAACGGGGGAGGGGCUCGCGGCCUAUCCGCUUGUUGGUGGGGUGAUGGCCUAACAAGGCGGUGACGGGUAGCCGGCCUGAGAGGGGACCCGGCCACAGUGGGACGGAGAGACGGCCCAGGCGCGUACGCGAUGGAGAAGUGGGGGAAAUGGCACAAAGGGUGAAAGACUAAUGCAGCGACGCUGCGUGGGGGAUGAAGGCUUUCAGGUUGUAAACUUAGUGCGCAAUCGAACGGGUAGGUGAAGAGAAAGCGCCGGCUAACUACGUGCCAGCAGCCGCGGUAAUAC
rnacentral:rRNA from 1 species